rnacentral:rRNA from 1 species
GAUGCAGCCAUGCCGCGUGAGUGAUGAAGGCCUUCGGGUUGUAAAGCUCUUUCGCGGGGAAGAAAAUGACUGUACCUGUAAAAGAAGGCCCGGCUAACUCCGUGCCAGCAGC